rnacentral:rRNA from 1 species
UACGAAGGGUGCAAACGUUGCUCGGAAUCAUUGGGCGUAAAGCGCACGUAGGCGGCCUUUCAAGUCGGAUGUGAAAUCCCUCGGCUCAACCAAGGAAGUGCAUCCGGAACUGGAAGGCUUGAGUACCAAAGAGGAUCGCGGAAUUCCCGGUGUAGAGGUGAAAUUCGGUAGAUAUCGGGAGGAACACCAGUGGCGAAGGCGGCGAUCUGGGGUGGAUACGUGACGCUGAGGUGCGAAAGCGUGGGGAGCAAACAGG